rnacentral:ncRNA from 1 species
AAGAAUGCAAUGAAGAGGAGAGUAGUUUCGGCAAGUCAUUUCAGGGAGUCCUGGUAAGUGAGAAGGGAUAAUGAUUACCGAAACGAAAGUAGCCUUUGAGCAGUAAAUGCGAAGUAAUGAGUAUUUACGGCGCGCACGCCUUAAAGUGCCGGUGUAUCGCUGAGUAAAAUUGGCCGUACAUGACGAGGUAAUUUGUGUAAGCAGAUUAUAAAUUAAGGUGGUACCGUGCUUAAAGCGCCCUUGAU